rfam:Ailuropoda melanoleuca scaffold1446_8, whole genome shotgun sequence.
CCAAAGGCUCUUCUCAGAGCCAUAAAAAAAAAAAAUUAAAGAAAAAU